UACGGAGGGUGCGAGCGUUAAUCGGAAUUACUGGGCGUAAAGCGCAUGCAGGUGGUUAAUUAAGUCAGAUGUGAAAGCCCGGGGCUUAACUCCGGAAGGUCAUUUGAAACUGGUUAACUAGAGUACUGUAGAGGGGGGUAGAAUUUCAGGUGUAGCGGUGAAAUGCGUAGAUAUCUGAAGGAAUACCGGUGGCGAAGGCGGCCCUCUGGACAGAUACUGACACUCAGAUGCGAAAGCGUGGGGAGCAAACAGG
rnacentral:rRNA from 1 species